rnacentral:tRNA from 1 species
AAUAAGGUCAGCUAAUAAAGCUAAUGAGUUCAUACCUCAUAUAUGAAUAGAUUAUAAUUUCUUCAGUUUAUUGCUUUAUA